rnacentral:tRNA from 1 species
GGAGAGUGUCGUGUGCCUGGUGGUCGCCGCGGUCUUCAAAACCGUUGAAACCCGUUAAGGGCUUGGCGGGUUCGAUUCCUUCCCUCUCCGCCA